CCGCGGGAUUGUUAGAUGGAACACGGCUUCAUCAUCACCCAGGCGCGGAGGGAAGACGCCCUGGUGCUCACCAAGUAAGGCCUGGUCUCCAAAUCCUCUCCUAAGAAGCCUCUUGGACGUAACAUCUUCAAGGCCCUUUUCUGCUGUUUUCGCGCCCAGCAUGUUGGCCAGUCAAGUUGCUCCACUGAGCUCGCUGCGUAUAAGGAGGAAGUGAACACCAUUGCUAAGUCGGAUCUGCUCCAGUGUCUCCAGUACCAGUUCUACCAGAUCCCAGGGACCUGCCUGCUCCCAGAGGUGACAGAGUAAGAUCAAGGAAGGAUCUGUGUGGUCAUUGACCUGGACGAAACCCUGGUGCACAGCUCCUUUAAGCCAAUCAACAAUGCUGACUUCAUAGUGCCUACAGAGAUUGAGGGGACCACUCACCAGGUGUAUGUGCUCAAGAGGCCUUAUGUGGACGAGUUCCUGAGACGCAUGGGGGAACUCUUUGAAUGUGUUCUCUUCACUGCCAGCCUGGCCAAGUAUGCCGACCCUGUGACGGACCAGCUGGACUGGUGUGGGGUGUUCCAGGCCCGCCUAUUCCGUGAGUCCUGCGUGUUUCACCAGGGAUGCUACGUCAAGGACCUCGGCCGCCUGGGGAGGGACCUGAGGAAGACUCUCAUCCUGGACAACUCGCUUACUUCUUACAUCUUCCACCCUGAGAAUGUAGUUCCUGUGCAGUCUUGGUUUGAUGACAUGGCAGACACCGAGUUGCUGAACCUGAUCCCAAUCUUUGAGGAGCUGAGCAGAGCAGAGGACGUCUACACCAGCCUUGGGCAGCUGCGGGCCCCUUAGACUUCCCUGCUUCCAGGCAACGGCCAUCCCAGUAGGGGACUUUCCCACACUGUGCCUUUAUGAUUAGUGUGACAGAGUGGAAGCUGGAGCGCCUCACCACACGGCCCAGAAACAGUGAGAAGUGAUUGGAAAGAGCUUUAGGACAACCUAGACGCCGAGUGGGCAAAUGCCAGACAAUGAUACCCAGAGCUACCUGCUGCCAAGUUGUCAACAUGUGUGUGUGACAGAGAGAGAGAGAGAGAGAGAGAAAGAGAGAGAGAGAGAGAGAGAGAAAGAGAAAGAGAGAGUUUGUGUGUGUGUUGCCAUGAACUGUGGCCCCAGCAUAUAGUGUUUCACUGGGGAGAAGCUGAAAGACCAAGACUUCCCAAGUGAGCUUGCCUCCUCUCCUGUCACCUUAGGAGCCACUGAGCUCUAUAAGGAUGGAGACUACUGAAGACUCCAUUGCCAAACCAUGGCCUUUCCUCAGUGUUGUAAGGCCUAUGCCAAGGAGAAAGGGAGGUAUGCCUUUGGGUGCUCCAGGCACACACCUUUCUGAAAUCCUCCAGCCAGCUGCUGCAGACAAAAGAUGACAUUUCUGGGAAGAUGAGGACUUGAUUCCAGACCAGCACCUCAGUAGCCAUUAGAGCUUGUGGCCCAAAGGCUAUGCUUGUGUCCAGCUGAGUGCCUGGGAUGGGCCCUUUCUGUGUCUCCCCAAGGCUGGAUUGCUGAGCCUGCCUUCCUCACCACCUAGCCAUAGUCUCAAACCUGUGGGGAAGGAGGUUUUCUCCCUGCCUGAGAAGAGGACAGAUAACUGAUUUCCGUUCUUUUGAUUCUGUUUUAAAAUUCUCUU